GUGAAUCAUCAAAUUUUUGAACGCAAAUUGCACUCUUCGGCUUUCCGGGAGAGUAUGCCUGUUUGGGGGCAGGCCUAAAAAAAAUCGACAUUGUUGCUGUUUUAUGGUGACUUUCGUAGGAGAUGGGUUAUCUUAAUUCUCGGUUCAAGCGCAUUAACAAUUUUUUUUACGAUUCUCUGAUUGUUUCUGAGGUUUUUCUUGUACGUUUAAGGUUUCGAUUAUUAUUAGACGUGACCAUCAUGUCGGAUA
rnacentral:misc_RNA from 1 species